UGAUCUGUAUGCACCCUGAUAGCCCGAUCGAGUAUGCUGUGGUCGUUCAGAUCUAUGGUGACACUAUUAUUUUCUAGGGGAAAUAAAAUCACUGGUAUCCUCGGUGCACAAGACAUUACAAUUGGGAAGCUGUUAUGGUUGAGAAAUCUUCAUCCUUACCUCAUGUUAAAGCACUCGACGUCUCUCUGCGUUUCUUGGUUGGUAUGCCUCCUCCC
rnacentral:lncRNA from 1 species